rnacentral:rRNA from 1 species
GAUGAACGCUGGCGGCGUGCCUAAUACAUGCAAGUCGAACGAAACUUCUUUAUCACCGAGUGCUUGCACUCACCGAUAAAGAGUUGAGUGGCGAACGGGUGAGUAACACGUGGGCAACCUGCCCAAAAGAGGGGGAUAACACUUGGAAACAGGUGCUAAUACCGCAUAACCAUAGUUACCGCAUGGUAACUAUGUAAAAGGUGGCUAUACUACCGCUUUUGGAUGGGCCCGCGGCGCAUUAGCUAGUUGGUAGGGUAAAGGCUUACCAAGGCAAUGAUGCGUAGCUGAAUUGAGAGGUUGAUCGGCCACAUUGGGACUGAGACACGGCCCAAACUCCUACGGGAGGCAGCAGUAGGGAAUCUUCCACAAUGGGCGAAAGCCUGAUGGAGCAACGCCGCGUGGGUGAAGAAGGUCUUCGGAUCGUAAAACCCUGUUGUUAGAGAAGAAAGUGCGUGAGAGUAACUGUUCACGUUUCGACGGUAUCUAACCAGAAAGCCACUGCUAACUACGU